UCCCCAUCACUGAGCACAGACCCUUGGUCCAGUCGAAAUCUUCUUAGGAGAAAGAAAAGGCAACCAUAAAAAUGAACAGAAUUUUGGCAUUGUGCUUUGGGGUGCUUCUUAUAACCUUAAUGUUUUCAACUCAGGGGUCUGCAGAUGAUAGCAAAUCAUCAGCAUCUUCAUCAGUUACGGCUGCUCCCAGUAAUUCCAGUGCUGCAGGAUUGGGUCCUUUGCCCACCACACUGUGCCUACUGAUCCCAGCAGCCACCCUGGGCUUCCUCCACACUAGAUCUUAAAUUGGAUGGAGAACGUUUGCCAUAGAUGACCAAGAUUGGACCAGUGGCAAAAAUGGAUAUCCAGUCACCCAAAGAGCAAACUUUCCCAAAAUUCUUGAAGAUAGAAGACGCAAAGGGGAGGGAAGACACCCCCAACAUCUCACAUUUGUAAUGGAUCUUUUAAAGCUUGAAGAUUUUUUUUUUUCCCAACACCUAUUUGUUUUCUCUACCUGUUUUAGGGAGCUUGUAAGAAAUCUACAACUGGAUAAUCAACAGCUGAACCUGCACUAUUGGGCUCUUUGUCUUGACUGCCCCAAAGCCACUGUUUUAAUAUAGGGCUCACCUGAUCCAUCUAUAAUAAUUAUAAUGAACCUUUAAUUGUAAUGAUUAAUAAUUUGUCUAAAUGCGCAAUUAAAGCUGAUGAUUCUACAUGUUUGUAUGUCAUUUGUAUAAUAUAUAUUUAUAUAUAUACAAAUAUUCAUAUAAUAUAAUAUUUAAACAUUGAAAUGGAAAUUUUAUCUUUUUUUUAAAGUACAUAUAUAUAUAUAUAAAAAGGAUUAAAAAAAAAAGUAAACAUGUACAUUUCAAUAGGUGAAAUGACAAAAAGACACAAUAACUUCAUAUACUGUAAGGGAUUUUAUCAUGUUAAAAAAGGCUCUCAUGGGCAUUUAUUAAAUUAUAAAUUAAUUAAUUACAAGUUACUGUAUAUGUACAUAAAACAUUUUAUUGAUGCAAGAUGGGCGUGUCACUCCCUUAUCCUGUGCAGAAGCUUCAGAAGCUAUUUUUAAAUUAUUAUUAACACAAGAUUAUACUGUUCAAGUUAUAUCUAAAAUAUGUGCUUCAUGUACAGUAGUACAAUUUAAAUAUGUAAAAUAUAAUUUAAUAAUGACUGAAUCAACCUGUCUACAUUGGGUUACACUAGAGCCAUUGAAAAAGAGAGUUGCGACACUCCCAUAGACUUCCAUUGUAAUCGAAGAAUGCGGAAGUGUCAUGGGCCGUUCUGCAUUCAUUUUCAGUGGUUUCGAAGCACGCUCGCUGGUGUGUUAGAAAAGAUAUGGCGGGGGGGUACUCGAGGACCAGGGUUGAAGAUCACUUAUCUAGAUCCCCGGACCCCGGAUCUAGCACUACAAAAAACAGGAGUGGAAGACCAUGGGAGGGGGAACACCCUUUACCCUCUUACUGGACAUAUU